rnacentral:misc_RNA from 1 species
AACGCACAUUGCGCCCCUUGGUAUUCCGAGGGGCAUGCCUGUUCGAGCGUCAUUAAAACAACUCAAGCUUGGCUUGGUCUUGGGGUCCGCGGUCUCGCGGCCCUUAAAAUCAGUGGCGGUGCCGUCUGGCUCUAAGCGUAGUAAUGCUCUCGCUAUAGGGUCUUGCGGUGGCUGCCAGAACCCCCACUUCUCAGUUUGACCUCGGAUCAGGUAGGGAUACCCGCUGAACUUAA